AAUUUUUGAGAAAUAAUGUUACUAAUAAGCUAGGCAAUUUAUUUUUUAAAUGACAGCUGUGAGCUUGGCAGUGGUGUUUACCUCUGAAUUAGAAGCUGUUACACCGUUGCAUUUUUACAGUGAGGCUAUCUAUGUUGCAGGAUUGGAUGCAAAUGGUUCCGAAGUGGGCAGCUGUGUGAUUCCACAUUAGCUCGCGGAGACUGCGGUUGUCAUUGAUCAGUUGAGGGAGCGGACGCCGAAGAGUAGACUUGAGAAAUGAUGUGUGAAGUGAUGCCGACUAUUAACGAAGACACCCCCAUGAGUCAGAGGGGCUCUCACAGCAGUGGCUCAGAGUCGGACAGCCACUUUGAGCAGCUGAUGGUGAACAUGCUGGAUGAGCGUGACCGGCUGCUGGACACCCUGCGAGAGACACAGGAGAGCCUGGGCCUGUCUCAACAGAACCUCGAGGACGUGCUCUACGACCGGGACUCCCUGCAGCGCCAGCUCAACUCCGCCCUGCCACAGGAGUUUGCUGCGUUGACAAAGGAGUUAAACGCAUGUAGGGAGCAGUUACUGGAAAAAGAAGAGGAGAUUUCAGAAUUGAAAGCCGAGAGGAACAACACCAGACUGCUGCUGGAGCAUUUGGAGUGCCUGGUUUCCAGACACGAGCGUUCACUGCGGAUGACAGUCGUGAAGCGACAGGCGCAGUCACCUUCUGGGGUUUCCAGUGAAGUCGAGGUCCUCAAAGCUCUCAAGUCUCUGUUUGAACAUCACAAGGCUCUGGAUGAGAAGGUGAGGGAACGAUUGAGAGUCUCCUUGGAGAGAGUCUCAGCUUUGGAAGAAGAAUUGACUGUAACUAACCAAGAGAUUGUAGCUUUACGGGAGCAGAAUGCACACAUUCAGAGGAAAGUUGCGUCAGGGGACGGAACUGAAGCCGAGCUUCUUGAAGUAACGGAAACCAGUCAGAAGGUCCAUGGAAAGCGCCUGUCGAACGGCUCCAUUGGCUCCAGUGACGAGGCCAGCCAUGUGGUGGAGCUGCAGGAGCUCCUGGAGAAGCAGAACUAUGAGCUGGCCCAGAUGAAGGAGCGCAUGUCCUCCCUGUCUUCACGAGUCUCAGAAGUGGAGCUGGAGCUGGAGACCGCCAGGAAGGACCUGCUCAAGUCCGAGGAGAUGAGCAACAAAUACCAGAGGGACAACCGAGAGGUGCUGUGCCAGAAGGAGGACAUGGAGGAGAGAAUUACCACGCUGGAGAGGCGCUACCUCGGUGCCCAGAGAGAGUCCACCUCGGUGCACGACAUGAAUGACAAGUUAGAGAAUGAGCUGGCAAACAAGGAGGCCUUCCUGCGCCAGAUGGAGGAAAAGAACCGGCAGUUGCAGGAGCGCCUGGAGCUGGCUGAGCAGAAGCUGCAGCAGACCAUGAGGAAGGCAGAGACGCUGCCUGAGGUAGAGGCUGAACUGGCUGAGAGGAUAGCAGCUCUUACAAAGGCUGAGGAGAGGCAUGGCAGCAUUGAGGAGCGGAUGAGGCACUUGGAAGGGCAGCUUGAGGAGAAGAACCAGGAGCUUCAAAGAGCCCGGCAACGAGAGAAAAUGAAUGAGGAGCACAAUAAGAGGCUGUCAGACACUGUAGACCGGCUCCUGACAGAGUCAAACGAGCGCCUUCAGCUCCACCUCAAAGAAAGAAUGGCUGCAUUAGAAGACAAGAAUGUUUUAAUACAGGACUCUGAAAACUUCAGGAAACAGCUUGAGGAUUCACUCCAUGAUAAGGACCAUCUUGCAGGGGAAAUAGAAAAGCUGAGAUCUGAACUUGAGCAGUUUAAGAUGAGAACAGGAUCCUUAAGUGAGCCAACAUUUUCCAGGACUCAUCUGGACACUUCAGGGGAGCUGAGAUACUCAGUGGGUUCCCUUGCUGACAGCCAGUCCGAUCACUACAGGUCUGCCAAAGUAAUAAGGAGACCUAGGAGGGGCCGUAUGGGUGUGCGGAUAGACGACCAGAAGGCCAAGUCACUUGGGGACCAUGAGUGGGGUCAGCCUCAGCAGAUCACUGUCCUUGGGAGCCACCCCUUUGAAAGCGACACUGAAAUGUCCGACAUCGACGACGAUGACAGGGAAACCAUCUUUAGCUCCAUGGACCGCCUCUCUCCUGGUGGACACUCUGAUGCCCAGACGCUUGCCAUGAUGCUUCAAGAACAGCUUGAUGCAAUCAACAGAGAGAUCCGUUUGAUCCAGGAAGAGAAGGAGUCGACGGAGUUGCGGGCAGAGGAGAUUGAGAGCCGAGUAGCCAGCGUCAGUUUGGAAGGCUUGAACUUGGCUCGAGUUCACCCAGAGACCUCAAUCACUGGCUCAGUCACCGCCUCCUCCCUGGCCAGCUCUUCACCGCCCAGCGGCCACUCCACGCCCAAACUGACCCCCCGUAGCCCAGCCCGAGAAAAGGACCGCAUGGGGGUCAUGACCCUGCCCAGUGAUUUAAGGAAACACAGGAGAAAGAUUGCAGCAGUUGAUGAGGAUGGUCGAGAAGACAAGGCCACUAUAAAGUGUGAGACGUCUCCUCCUGCCACUCCCCGACAAGUCCGAAUGACGCACACACUGCCAUCGUCCCACCACAACGAUGCCAAGGGUGUAUCUGCUACACUGGAAGCUGAAGCCACUGCACUCAGCAGUGUCACCAGCAGCCAAGACUCUCUUCACAAAGCUCCAAAGAAAAAGGGAAUCAAAUCAUCAAUAGGCCGCUUGUUUGGCAAAAAGGAGAAGGGAAGACUUGCACAACUCCACAAAGAUUAUGGUGGACCAGGACAGGACUCCGAGCUUGGUGGACAGGAUGCUGUGGGAUUAGGAAAACUUGGGACCCAAGCAGAAAAAGACAGGAGGCUAAAGAAGAAGCAUGAACUUCUAGAGGAAGCUCGCAGAAAGGGGUUGCCUUUCGCACAGUGGGAUGGGCCCACUGUAGUGGCGUGGCUGGAGCUGUGGCUCGGGAUGCCAGCUUGGUACGUGGCAGCCUGCCGUGCCAACGUGAAGAGUGGGGCCAUCAUGUCUGCUCUGUCUGACACGGAAAUCCAGAGGGAGAUCGGGAUCAGCAACCCCCUGCACCGCCUCAAGCUCCGCCUGGCUAUCCAGGAAAUGGUCUCGCUCACCAGCCCCUCGGCCCCUCCCACAUCGAGAACACCUUCAGGCAAUGUAUGGGUGACCCACGAGGAAAUGGAAAAUCUAACGGCUCCAACCAAAACGAAGGAGUCAGAGGAAGGCAGCUGGGCACAGACACUGGCCUAUGGUGAUAUGAAUCAUGAAUGGAUCGGAAAUGAAUGGCUCCCAAGCUUGGGAUUACCUCAGUACCGCAGUUACUUCAUGGAGUGCCUCGUGGACGCCAGAAUGCUGGACCACCUGACCAAGAAGGACCUCAGAGUCCAUCUUAAAAUGGUGGACAGCUUCCACAGGACAAGUCUGCAGUACGGGAUCAUGUGCCUAAAGAAACUCAAUUAUGACAGGAAAGAACUGGAAAGGAGGAGAGAAUGCAGUCAACAUGAAAUGAAAGAUGUGUUAGUGUGGAGCAAUGACCGUGUGCUUCGCUGGGUACAGAGUAUAGGACUGCGGGAUUAUGCCAACAUCUUGUUAGAAAGUGGAGUCCAUGGGUCCCUGGUUGCCUUGGAUGACAAUUUUGACUACAGUAGUCUAGCACUGUUACUACAGAUCCCAAACCAGAACACUCAGGCACGACAACUUCUGGAGAGAGAGUACAACAACCUUCUGGCGCUCGGAACAGAGAGAAGACUUGAUGAAAAUGAUGACAAAAACUUCAGAGGAGGUCCUUCCUGGAGAAGACAGUUCCACCCACGGGACGUCCAUGGAAUCAGCAUGAUGCCAGGCUCCUCCGAAACUCUGCCAGCAGGGUUCAGACUGACCACCACGUCGGGGCAGUCACGCAACAUGUCAUCUGAAGUUCUCUUUGAGAUGUUGGACGACAGUCCCGAAGACAUGAUAAUGGACUGGUCUCAAGGUCAGGAAUACCUGAACAGUGCUGGACUCUCACUGUCCUACCUAAACAUUUCAGUCCCUAAUCUCUGGAGCUAUACUGGGUUCUACAUUUGGCUUUCAUUUUCCUCCCCUCCACAUUCUCUGUACCUUUCGUCCUCUGCGUGUCGAGACUGCCAACUUACUGUAGGUGCCAAUAAGCUCCUGAGUUUUGUUCUAGGGAAGUCCAGGGUUAGAUCAUAAGAACCACAACUUCUACUUUCAAUCACAGAUCAAUCAGAAAGCUGUGUUUUGUACCACUGUUAACGUGUUAAGAAUUAUUUCCUUCUCCAGUCAAGUCAUUGAAACCUAUAAUACCCUUCCAUAUUCACCAACAGGAAAGACCGCCGUAAAUAGCCGCCGCCAUUAACUGCAAAAUCACAAGUGGUGUAUUUCAUUGUAGUGGUGUGCCCAAACAAAAAGAUGAAGUCCACACAAGUCAAUUUUUUAAGAAAAAUAUGUAUGAUUGUAUUCCUGUUGAAAUUUCUCAAAUAAAACACAUGCCCCUGGAUUAAAGACAAAGUGAAUGCAUUAAGCAGCUUGCCCCCAAAACCAACUUUAUUUAAUAUAUACAAUAUGUACAAGAGUAGUGAAAAUGUAAACAGUGGCUAUCUGCUACCGCUUCCCGGUCAUAUCUUGCUUUUAUAAAUCAUUAAAACAAAAGCUUUGACUGAGAAAUAUCAACUGGAAUAGAAAGAGGCGCAUCUUUCUUUAAAAGCAAGCCAUGAAUAAGGAAGUUCAUCUUUUUAACGAUGUCCAUUCCUGAGCUCCAUUAAAAGAACUGUAGCAGAUCUCCUGAAUUAAUGGUCAAUUUACUGUUUGCAGCUACCUCAUCAGCACUGCAGAGGUUGGACAGUUCAACAGUGAGGACGUAUUCAUGCUGAUUUGUUAAUGGAAGGAAAAUGGCUCAAUGAUUGUUUCAGUAUAUCAGUGCUGCCGGUACCCAUGUACCUUCUGUGAUGAGGAUCCCUGAUGAGCUCCCUUUACCUGACCAGCAUCAGCUAGAGUAAACCUGCAGGUCUCACAUGCUGCUCCAAGACACCACGCUGUUUUUACAGCCAAGUCCGUGCAACUGAGCACCAAGCAGAGGUGCUAAAAAUAUCUACAGAGCUGUCAAAUAUGUUGCAGUUUGUACUGUUUUCUUGUACUGUGUAUGUAUUUAUUUUACAGAAACGUGUAGGUCCUCUGUACAUUAAUAUAAAUAUGGCAGUUUUUUUAAUGUAUUUUUUUUAUAUAUAUUUAAAAAAAAAAACACACACACACACCCUUGGGUUUGUGUGAAUAUCCAGACAUCAUUUUCAUGUUCAGAGAUGCUGCUGUUUGUACCUUUUUCCAUGAUAUCAAUUCUAAAGGGUUUUCCGCCCCAUAGUGACCAGCUUUACAUGUUUAGCAGUGUUAGGACCUUUGAGACAGACUGUUUAGGUUUUUAUUGGGUUUCUAAUCACAACCUGCCAUGUGGUGUACAGUUCUGUGAAUCGUGUCCCAUCUCUACUGCACAGUCACUUUAUCAGAUGAAAUAACUCAAAGACAGACUGCGGAACUAGUAGUGUGUAAAAAGGGUAUAUAAAAUAUAAUAGUUGAGAGACAUUUAAAAAAAAAAUCUAUUGCUUACUGUGACUUUUUUGGUGUUGCUAUAUAAUUGUUUAGCCUUUAAUUGUUUCUAUAGGAGAUUCUCCGAGUAAGACCUCUGAUAACCUCCCUUCAAUAGUUGCUGAUUUACUGCUGCUUGAUCUUCACGCAAGACCUGUCUUAGUUAUUUCUAUAAGCAGUUUGAUCUGCUGGAGUUUUGUAAAAAAAAUUGUGUUUUUGUUUGCAUGUACAGAUAAUCUUUGUUUAAUUUUGUCCAUUUUAAUUUAUUAUUGACUUUUUCUUUGGUAAAAAAAUAAAUGGUGAUCAAA